GACGACCGGCUGGAUACUCGCGUGUCCGGCCCACAAGUGGAGGCUCCGAUCUCCCACCUGACCGCCCCCAGGGCGGCGGGUCACCCGGUCAGGCGGCCGCCAUCGUUCCGUACGGACGAUGGAGUCGCCCGAAAUCGCGCCCCGCGAUCAUCGUGGCGGUGCUCCGGUAGUGCUUUGGAGCCCCCUCAUGUGAUCGUCCGGGGCAUUUUUU
rnacentral:ncRNA from 1 species